rnacentral:rRNA from 1 species
UACGUAGGGCGCAAGCGUUAUCCGGAAUUAUUGGGCGUAAAGGGCGCGUAGGCGGCUUUGCAAGUGACGGGUGAAAGCCCUCGGCUUAACCGAGGAACUGCCUGUCAGACUGUGAGGCUUGAGACCGGGAGAGGUGAGUGGAAUUCCCAGUGUAGCGGUGAAAUGCGUAGAUAUUGGGAGGAACACCAGUGGCGAAGGCGGCUCACUGGACCGGAACUGACGCUGAGGCGCGAAAGCGUGGGGAGCAAACAGG